UACGUAGGGGGCAAGCGUUGUCCGGAUUUAUUGGGCGUAAAGAGCGUGUAGGCGGCCAUACAGGUCCGUUGUGAAAACUGGAGGCUUAACCUCCAGACGUCGAUGGAAACCGUAUGGCUAGAGUCCGGAAGAGGAGAGUGGAAUUCCUGGUGUAGCGGUGAAAUGCGCAGAUAUCAGGAAGAACACCCGUGGCGAAGGCGGCUCUCUGGGCCUUACCUGACGCUGAGGAGCGAAAGCGUGGGGAGCGAACAGG
rnacentral:rRNA from 1 species